rnacentral:rRNA from 1 species
AUUGAACGCUGGCGGCAUGCCUUACACAUGCAAGUCGAACGGCAGUACGGGGCAACCUGGUGGCGAGUGGCGAACGGGUGAGUAAUGCAUCGGAACGUACCUUUCAGUGGGGGAUAACGUAGCGAAAGUUACGCUCAUACCGCAUAUUCUGUGAGCAGGAAAGCAGGGGAUCGCAAGACCUUGCGCUGAUUGAGCGGCCUAUGUCAGAUUAGCUAGUUGGUGAGGUAAAGGCUCACCAAGGCGACGAUCUGUAGCGGGUCUGAGAGGAUGAUCCGCCACACUGGAACUGAGACACGGUACAGACUCCUACGGGAGGCAGCAGUGGGGAAUUUUGGACAAUGGGGGCAACCCUGAUCCAGCCAUGCCGCGUGAGUGAAGAAGGCCUUCGGGUUGUAAAGCUCUUUCGGCCGGGAAGAAAUCGCACGGGCUAAUACCCUGUGUGGAUGACGGUACCGGAAUAAGAAGCACCGGCUAACUACGUGCCAGCAGCCGCGGUAAGAC